CACCAUUCAUCGAGCUCUCACACUCGCUGAUGUACAACGUGCUGUGUGUCCAGGCUGGAGUUCCUAUGUCAAUCAAGUGGACCCAGCCCUCAAGUGGAAGCUCAGAACAGGGAGGUGAUUCAUUCAAGUUUCCUCAGCUGGGACAUAAUGAAGAUGAAAUCAUACCCAGACCCCACCACCGCGCAGUCAACGCCAGAUGGCUCCUUCCAUUUCUCUGCACCAACUGUCUUGCCCGAUAUGUGUCACGUGCUCUGCUGGGAAGAUGGAUGAGACUCCAUGAGACCAUGAGUACUGAGCCUGGCACACAGUCAGCCCUGACAGAGUGUUGGUGUGGAAAAGAGAUGGAGAAAAGAAAGAAAGAAAGAAAGAGAAAAGAACAGACAGGACAAGACAAGGUGAGGGAGAGAGAAACAUGUCCAAAAUGGUUUGAGGCUCUUAAAGGGGUUUCACCUUCAUGGGCCUCAGUUUCUGUGCCAAAUGUGUUCAUUUAUUUAAAACAACUGCUUUUUCCGUAGCCCCUACCGUGUGCUCUGUAUCACUACACUAGCCCUCCAUCACUAACCCUUCAACCCUUCAACACGCUGAUCUAGCUGCCCCAAA